rnacentral:rRNA from 1 species
AGCGAACGCUGGCGGCAGGCUUAACACAUGCAAGUCGAGCGGGCACUUCGGUGUCAGCGGCAGACGGGUGAGUAACACGUGGGAACGUGCCCUUCGGUUCGGAAUAACUCAGGGAAACUUGAGCUAAUACCGGAUACGCCCUUUGGGGGAAAGGUUUACUGCCGAAGGAUCGGCCCGCGUCUGAUUAGCUAGUUGGUGGGGUAAUGGCCUACCAAGGCGACGAUCAGUAGCUGGUCGAGAGGAUGAUCAGCCACACUGGGACUGAGACACGGCCCAGACUCCUACGGGAGGCAGCAGUGGGGAAUAUUGGACAAUGGGCGCAAGCCUGGUCCAGCCAUGCCGCGUGAGUGAUGAAGGCCCUAGGGUUGUAAAGCUCUUUUACCCGGGAAGAUAAUGACUGUACCGGGAGAAUAAGCCCCGGCUAACUUCGUGCCAGCCGCCGCUGUAAC